GACGAACGCUGGCGGCGUGCCUAAUACAUGCGAGUUGAGCGAUGAAGCUUGGUGCUUGCCCCAAUUUGAAGAGCAGCGAACGGGUGAGUAACGCGUGGGGAAUCUGCCUUUGAGCGGGGGACAACAUUUGGAAACGAAUGCUAAUACCGCAUAACAACUUUAAACAUAAGUUUUAAGUUUGAAAGAUGCAAUUGCAUCACUCAAAGAUGAUCCCGCGUUGUAUUAGCUAGUUGGUGAGGUAAAGGCUCACCAAGGCGAUGAUACAUAGCCGACCUGAGAGGGUGAUCGGCCACAUUGGGACUGAGACACGGCCCAAACUCCUACGGGAGGCAGCAGUAGGGAAUCUUCGGCAAGGGACGAAAGUCUGACCGAGCAACGCCGCGUGAGGGAAGAAGGGUGUCGGAUCGUAAAACUCUGUUGGUAGAGAAGAACGUUGGUGAGAGUGGAAAGCUCAUCAAGUGACGGUAACUACCCAGAAAGGGACGGCUAACUACGUG
rnacentral:rRNA from 1 species